rnacentral:rRNA from 1 species
UACGAAGGGGGCUAGCGUUGCUCGGAAUCACUGGGCAUAAAGGGCGCGUAGGCGGCUUUUCAAGUCAGGGGUGAAAUCCGGCAGCUCAACUGUCGAAGUGCCCUUGAUACUGAUGAGCUCGAGGGAGGUAGGGGUGUGUGGAACUUCCGGUGGAGCGGUGAAAUGCGUUGAUAUCGGAAGGAACGCCGGUGGCGAAAGCGGCGCACUGGACCGCUACUGACGCUGAGGCGCGAAAGCUAGGGGAGCAAACGGG